rnacentral:rRNA from 1 species
UACGGAGGGGGCUAGCGUUGUUCGGAAUUACUGGGCGUAAAGCGCGCGUAGGCGGACCUGCAAGUCGGGGGUGAAAGCCCGAGGCUCAACCUCGGAACUGCCUUCGAUACUGCGGGUCUCGAGUCCGGGAGAGGUGAGUGGAAUUCCUAGUGUAGAGGUGAAAUUCGUAGAUAUUAGGAAGAACACCAGUGGCGAAGGCGGCUCACUGGCUCGGUACUGACGCUGAGGCGCGAAAGCGUGGGGAGCAAACAGGG